rnacentral:misc_RNA from 1 species
GAAAUGCGAUAAGUAGUGUGAAUUGCAGAAUUCAGUGAAUCAUCGAAUCUUUGAACGCAUAUUGCGCCCUUUGGCAUUCCGAAGGGCAUACCUGUUCGAGCGUCAUUGUAAUCCUUAAGCUAUGCUUAGUGUUCAACGUUUUGUCCUACUAGAUUCUAGUGCUACGGACACGUUACAAAAGUAUCGGCUUCGAUUAUUGGUACUGCGCGUACCAGAAUCUUUCGCAUAUAGAUCAGUACAUCGACGGCCCUAAUGGCACGUCGGGUUGUCUCGAUAUACUUUUAGAUUGACCUCGGAUCAGGUAGGGAUACCCGCUGAACUUAA